rnacentral:rRNA from 1 species
UACGGAGGGUGCAAGCGUUAUCCGGAUUCACUGGGUUUAAAGGGUGCGUAGGCGGGCAGGUAAGUCCGCGGUGAAAUCUCUGAGCUUAACUCAGAAACUGCCAUGGAUACUAUUUGUCUUGAAUGUUGUGGAGGUAAGCGGAAUAUGUCAUGUAGCGGUGAAAUGCUUAGAUAUGACAUAGAACACCAAUUGCGAAGGCAGCUUACUACACAAAUAUUGACGCUGAGGCACGAAAGCGUGGGGAUCAAACAGG